CGCCUAACACAUGCAAGUCGAACGAAGUAGCAAUACUUAGUGGCAGACGGGUGAGUAACAUGUAGGUAUCUGCCCUUUGGCCUGGAAUAACACGAGGAAACUUGUGCUAAUACCGGAUAAGUCUUUACGGAGAAAGCUUUAUGCACCAUUGGAUGAGCCUGCACUUGAUUAGUUUGUUGGUGGGGUAAUGGCCUACCAAGACUGUGAUCAAUAGCUGAUUUGAGAGGAUGAUCAGCCACAUUGGGACUGAGACACGGCCCAAACUCCUACGGGAGGCAGCAGUGGGGAAUCUUGCACAAUGGAGGAAACUCUGAUGCAGCGAUGCCGCGUGAGUGAAGAAGGCCCUUGGGUUGUAAAGCUCUUUC
rnacentral:rRNA from 1 species